rnacentral:rRNA from 1 species
UCUAAAUGUAAAAUUUUUAAACUAGGGUAGUAAUAGUUAAGUUCUUGAAACCCAAAGAAUUUGGCGGUAUUUUAGUCCUUUCAGAGGAAUCUGUCCCAUAAUCGACAGUCCACGAGAGAAAUUACUUAUUCUUGUAUUUCAGUUUGUAUACCUCCGUCAUAAGAAGAUCUUUUUAGAGAUAAAAUUUUCUUGAUAUUUAAAGUAUAGGAUGUCAGGUCAAGGUGCAAUUUAUGAAUAAGGGGAGAUGGAUUACAAUAAAUUUAUUUAUACGGAUUAAAUUAUUUAAUUUUUUUUAUGAAGGGGGAUUUGAUAGUAAUUUUAAAUUAUUUAUUAUUAUGAUUUUGGCUCUAAAAUAUGC